UACGGAGGGUGCAAGCGUUAUCCGGAUUCACUGGGUUUAAAGGGUGCGUAGGUGGGCAGGUAAGUCAGUGGUGAAAUCUCCGGGCUUAACUCGGAAACUGCCAUUGAUACUAUCUGUCUUGAAUACCGUGGAGGUCAGCGGAAUAUGUCAUGUAGCGGUGAAAUGCUUAGAUAUGACAUAGAACACCAAUUGCGAAGGCAGCUGGCUAACACGAAUAUUG
rnacentral:rRNA from 1 species